CGGGGGCGGGGCUUCAAUCCAUGCCUAAAUGGGUACUAGCGCAAUUACCUUUGACAUGCCAUUAUUUGUUUAGAUAAGUACAGGUAGAUAAUAACAGAAGCAGAAACGGACAAUAACACCAUGCCUCUUAAGGUGUGCACAUGCGCAUGCCCAUGCAUUGCACGUGACAAUAAAAAGACAGGGAAAGAAGUGGUAGAUUGACCACACCUCUUACACACACUUCAAGACUCAAGGCGUGGCCCCAUCAUCCAGUCAAGUCAUACUGCACUGAAUCAACUACAGUAAUGGCAGCACUCACAGCAUAUCGACUGCCUCAGGGCCCAGCGACUGUGUCUAUGGGAUGUGGUCGGGGAGACACUCAUGACCACUUUCUCUGGUCACAAGGGAAGUGUCAAGUCGGUCUGUGUCAAGGAUGAGCCCAUGUUGUGAAGCUGUGGGACAUGCGACGAUACUACACAAACCACAAAUGUGCCCCACCCCCCUGCUGGCACUCGUUUGUCCCCAUGGAUAGAGGGGGCGUGUCUACAGGUUCAACUUUCUCGUGGCCGAUACCCAUCAAAGCUGUGUCUAUGCCAGUGCCACUGACGGCAUGUAAGAUGUUUUGCUCUACUGUGAGCAGGAUGCCCAAUGUCUUCAGAAUGUACUUGUCCUGUCCUAUAGAAUCAGGUUCACUAUUAGAAAUGACCAUCACCCAUUUUAUAUUUAGAUGCCUCGGUGCUCAUGCGCAAGCGAGGUAUACGUUUGUGUGUCUGUGUGUGUUAUUUGUGGAUUUGUAAAAUAAUGCUUCGUUCUCAAGUUAUUCCUAGCAGCCUUUUCAGAAGAGUACGUAGCAAAACUUGUUCACCGAGUGUUGCUACUCUACUUAGUAGUUAGCUCUGCACUAGAACGCUAGCUAUUGGUAGUUACAAGAGUGAAAAGAAAGCUGCAAGGCUCUGUUCCAGCCAUUUAUUUUAGACUUGAACUUUGUCAUCAAUCGUUUUAACAACAAUCAUCGUCGAUCAUUACCCACUCCCCUAUAAUUCCUCUGAUGAUUCCUGGACUCUGGAUUUUUGCCUGCAUGCAGCAAAAUUAAAAAUGUUCAUCAUGAUAUAAAGUGUGUACAUGUAUAUGUUAUGUACGCCCGCGGUGCUUUCAUUUUAUAUUGCGCUGUGUUCUUCCAAUCUAACUUUUGCAUUCCAUCUCCUAUCACUACACAGCAUCUACAAGUACAGUACAAGCACCCUGGAGCAGGUACCUGUGGAUGGCUACAGUGGACAUGACACAAGAGCUCCUCCACGUUCUACUCUGAGGCCUAUCUCAUGCAGUAGUGGGGAUGGAUUGACUGGCUCCAGCUGCCUACAUCUUGAAGUGGGUUCUUCUACCUACAGUCAAAAAUAGCGGUCACAGAGAAAAUAAUUGAGUAAGGGACUCUCGG